rnacentral:rRNA from 1 species
UGCUCGAGUGGCGAACGGGUGAGUAACACGCGAGUAACCCGCCCUUGACUUUGGGAUAGCUUCAGGAAACUGGGGCUAAUACCGGAUAGGAGCUCCUGCUGCAUGGUGGGGGUUGGAAAGUUUCGGCGGUUGGGGAUGGACUCGCGGCUUAUCAGCUUGUUGGUGGGGUAGUGGCUUACCAAGGCUUUGACGGGUAGCCGGCCUGAGAGGGUGACCGGCCACAUUGGGACUGAGAUACGGCCCAG